rnacentral:rRNA from 1 species
GAUGAACGCUGGCGGCGUGCCUAAUACAUGCAAGUCGAGCGAACGGACGAGAAGCUUGCUUCUCUGAUGUUAGCGGCGGACGGGUGAGUAACACGUGGAUAACCUACCUAUAGGACUGGGAUAACUUCGGGAAACCGUAGCUAAUACCGGAUAAUAUUUUGAACCGCAUGGUUCAAAAGUGAAAGACGGUCUUGCUGUCACUUAUAGAUGGAUCCGCGCUGCAUUAGCUAGUUGGUAAGGUAACGGCUUACCAAGGCAACGAUGCAUAGCCGACCUGAGAGGGUGAUCGGCCACACUGGAACUGAGACACGGUCCAGACUCCUACGGGAGGCAGCAGUAGGGAAUCUUCCGCAAAGGGCGAAAGCCUGACGGAGCAACGCCGCGUGAGUGAUGAAGGUCUUCGGAUCGUAAAACUCUGUUAUUAGGGAAGAACAUAUGUGUAAGUAACUGUGCACAUCUUGACGGUACCUAAUCAGAAAGCCACGGCUAACUACGUG